UCUCCCAGUCAAUCGCCGUCGACAUUCAUCUUGUUUAUUCCCGCCAAAUUUGUCCAGAACUGCGAGUUAAGUGGAGUUGGCAGGAUUUGGGAGCAUUACUUCAGUCGUCAAUGUCAUUAAGAUGGGUUAUUUGCAACGGCUGGAGUUGGAAAAUUUUAAGUCCUAUAAAGGAAAACACACUAUUGGACCUUUCAAGCGUUUCACAGCUGUUAUUGGACCUAAUGGAUGUGCUUGGAAGAGCUGAGCAAUAGCAACACUGACGGCUCCAACAAUAAACAGCAGCUAGGUGUUACAAAACUUUAAGCUUUGAAGGUGCUAGUGUUUAGCUGUUUUCCAAUUGAAUCUGCCAUGGAGGAAGAAAAAGUGUGGAAGUCUAUUAAAAGUAAAAUUAACUUGAAGUGUCACCUUAGCAAACAUGUAAAUAAGCUUGCUCAUUCCUUGUAGUGUAAAUAAAGUUGAACUGACCUUA